UACGUAGGGCGCGAGCGUUGUCCGGAAUUAUUGGGCGUAAAGAGCUCGUAGGCGGCCUGUUGCGUCCGCUGUGAAAUCCCGGGGCUUAACCCCGGGCUUGCAGUGGAUACGGGCAGGCUGGAGGCAGGCAGGGGAGAACGGAAUUCCCGGUGUAGCGGUGAAAUGCGCAGAUAUCGGGAGGAACACCAAUGGCGAAGGCAGCUCGCUGGGACGUGACUGACGCUGAGACGCGAAAGCGUGGGGAGCAAACAGG
rnacentral:rRNA from 1 species